GUCGAGCGAGCUUGCCUAGAUGAUUUUAGUGCUUGCACUAAAUGAAACUAGAUACAAGCGAGCGGCGGACGGGUGAGUAACACGUGGGUAACCUGCCCAAGAGACUGGGAUAACACCUGGAAACAGAUGCUAAUACCGGAUAACAACACUAGACGCAUGUCUAGAGUUUGAAAGAUGGUUCUGCUAUCACUCUUGGAUGGACCUGCGGUGCAUUAGCUAGUUGGUAAGGUAACGGCUUACCAAGGCAAUGAUGCAUAGCCGAGUUGAGAGACUGAUCGGCCACAUUGGGACUGAGACACGGCCCAAACUCCUACGGGAGGCAGCAGUAGGGAAUCUUCCACAAUGGACGAAAGUCUGAUGGAGCAACGCCGCGUGAGUGAAGAAGGGUUUCGGCUCGUAAAGCUCUGUUGGUAGUGAAGAAAGAUAGAGGUAGUAACUGGCCUUUAUUUGACGGUAAUUAUUUAGAAAGUCACGGCUAACUACGUGCCAGCAGCCGCGGUAAUACGUAGGUGGCAAGCGUUGUCCGGAUUUAUUGGGCGUAAAGCGAGUGCAGGCGGUUCAAUAAGUCUGAUGUGAAAGCCUUCGGCUCAACCGGAGAAUUGCAUCAGAAACUGUUGAACUUGAGUGCAGAAGAGGAGAGUGGAACUCCAUGUGUAGCGGUGGAAUGCGUAGAUAUAUGGAAGAACACCAGUGGCGAAGGCGGCUCUCUGGUCUGCAACUGACGCUGAGGCUCGAAAGCAUGGGUAGCGAACAAGAUUAGAUACCCUGGUAG
rnacentral:rRNA from 1 species